AUUGAACGCUAGCGGGAUGCCUUACACAUGCAAGUCGAACGAGUGGCGAACGGGUGAGUAAUGUAUCGGACCGUGCCCAGUAGCGUGGGGUAACUACGCGAAAAGUAGCUAAUACUGCAUACUAUUGCAGCGGCAGAUAUUGGAUUCGCUAGUUGGUGGGGUAACGGCGCUCCAAGGCGACGUUCGGUAUCUGGUUUGAGAGGACGACCCGCCACCCUGAGGCUUGGACACGGUCCAGACUCCUACGGGAGGCAGCAGGUGUUAGUAGUGGACAAUUGGGUAAACCCUGAGCGAGCCGUGCCGCGUGAGGGAUGAAUGCCUGCGGAUUGUAAAGCACUUUUGGCAGGCAUGCGUUACCUACAGAAUAAGCACCGGCUAACUACGUGCCAGCCGCCGCGGUAAUAC
rnacentral:rRNA from 1 species